rnacentral:rRNA from 1 species
GCGUGCUUAACACAUGCAAGUCGAACGGAAAGGCCCUGCUUUUGUGGGGUGCUCGAGUGGCGAACGGGUGAGUAACACGUGAGUAACCUGCCCUUGACUUUGGGAUAACUUCAGGAAACUGGGGCUAAUACCGGAUAGGAGCUCCUGCUGCAUGGUGGGGGUUGGAAAGUUUCGGCGGUUGGGGAUGGACUCGCGGCUUAUCAGCUUGUUGGUGGGGUAGUGGCUUACCAAGGCUUUGACGGGUAGCCGGCCUGAGAGGGUGACCGGCCACAUUGGGACUGAGAUACGGCCCAGACUCCUACGGGAGGCAGCAGUGGGGAAUAUUGCACAAUGGGCGGAAGCCUGAUGCAGCAACGCCGCGUGCGGGAUGACGGCCUUCGGGUUGUAAACCGCUUUCGCCUGUGACGAAGCGUGAGUGACGGUAAUGGGUAAAGAAGCACCGGCUAACUACGUGCCAGCAGCCGCGGUGAUACGUAGGGUGCGAGCGUUGUCCGGAUUUAUUGGGCGUAAAGGGCUCGUAGGUGGUUGAUCGCGUCGGAAGUGUAAUCUUGGGGCUUAACCCUGAGCGUGCUUUCGAUACGGGUUGACUUGAGGAAGGUAGGGGAGAAUGGAAUUCCUGGUGGAGCGGUGGAAUGCGCAGAUAUCAGGAGGAACACCAGUGGCGAAGGCGGUUCUCUGGGCCUUUCCUGACGCUGAGAAGCGAAAGCGUGGGGAGCGAACAGGCUUAGAUACCCUGGUAGUCCACGCUGUAAACGGUGGGUACUAGGUGUGGGGUCCAUUCCACGGGUUCCGUGCCGUAGCUAACGCUUUAAGUACCCCGCCUGGGGAGUACGGCCGCAAGGCUAAAACUCAAAGGAAUUGACGGGGCCCCGCACAAGCGGCGGAGCAUGCGGAUUAAUUCGAUGCAACGCGUAGAACCUUACCUGGGUUUGACAUGGAUCGGGAGUGCUCAGAGAUGGGUGUGCCUCUUUUGGGGUCGGUUCACAGGUGGUGCAUGGCUGUCGUCAGCUCGUGUCGUGAGAUGUUGGGUUAAGUCCCGCAACGAGCGCAACCCUUGUUCACUGUUGCCAGCACGUUAUGGUGGGGACUCAGUGGAGACCGCCGGGGUCAACUCGGAGGAAGGUGGGGAUGACGUCAAGUCAUCAUGCCCCUUAUGUCCAGGGCUUCACGCAUGCUACAAUGGCUGGUACAGAGAGUGGCGAGCCUGUGAGGGUGAGCGAAUCUCGGAAAGCCGGUCUCAGUUCGGAUUGGGGUCUGCAACUCGACCUCAUGAAGUCGGAGUCGCUAGUAAUCGCAGAUCAGCAACGCUGCGGUGAAUACGUUCCCGGGGCUUGUACACACCGCCCGUCAAGUCAUGAAAGUUGGUAACACCCGAAGCCGGUGGCCUAACCGUUGUGGGGGAGCCGUCGAAGGUGGGACUGGUGAUUAGGAAAAA